GAGUUUGAUCAUGGCUCAGAUUGAACGCUGGCGGCAUGCCUUACACAUGCAAGUCGAACGGCAGCAUGAUCUAGCUUGCUAGAUUGAUGGCGAGUGGCGAACGGGUGAGUAAUACAUCGGAACGUGCCCUGUAGUGGGGGAUAACUAGUCGAAAGAUUAGCUAAUACCGCAUACGACCUGAGGGUGAAAGUGGGGGACCGCAAGGCCUCAUGCUAUAGGAGCGGCCGAUGUCUGAUUAGCUAGUUGGUGGGGUAAAGGCCCACCAAGGCGACGAUCAGUAGCUGGUCUGAGAGGACGAUCAGCCACACUGGGACUGAGACACGGCCCAGACUCCUACGGGAGGCAGCAGUGGGGAAUUUUGGACAAUGGGCGAAAGCCUGAUCCAGCAAUGCCGCGUGUGUGAAGAAGGCCUUCAGGUUGUAAG
rnacentral:rRNA from 1 species